CUGACCGAGGCGUGUGAGUUCUGACACGGCCCAGAGAGGCCAGGAUGGCUGCUGUCGGCCUUGUUCUCAUUACUCUGCUGAGACGGGGCCUUGAUCACAUUACCCAUCAUUCAGGCUCCCCAGGGGAUCAGCCUCUGGUUCCGAGGGCACAAGGUAAACCCGGGGAGGUCUUAGCAACGCCUAUCACUGUCGACCCCCGGGGAACUUGCCCAAUGUAAGGCAUUCGCGCUCCGUCUCCCACCGGACCCCGGGGCAGGCAGCGAGCCCGCCCCCCGCUGGUGCACCUCGCGGUGCCAAAGGAAAGGCGCCUCAUGCUAUUAGCUCAAAUAAGGAAAAUCAUGCUGGGGAGAUUGAAUUUUCUGCAGAGCUGGUGAAACUCGGUGAUUUCUGAACACGUGGUGCUGGCAGGCGUGGGGACGUGGGCUGCCAGCCUGCGAUUUAUCAGCCGAUUCUGGAGUCUAUGCACAGGUUUAUUAAAUCAGCAUGAGUCCCUCUCCUGCCUUCCUUGCAAAUGUGAAUCGCGAAUCGCCAAAACCCAGAGAACACACGUGACCCGAGAGUUUCUUCUUGGGGCCUGGAGCAUCUAGAGAGCUGGGGGAAGAGUGCUGUCAGCGGGAGGUCUCCACCAGCCGGCGGAACGCCCAGGCCAGGCAGAGAGAAGCAGCUAGGUGGGGUGCCCAGAGCACAGGUGCAGGCGGGGCACAGACCGGGGCCCACCUCCGCCCUUACGGGCUCAUCCGCUCAGUCCUGCCUGUGCCAGGCAGUGGGCUGUGCAUGGGGCACUCGGCCCAGAGAAGGACUUACCCCAGGUUCGGCCCUCACAGAGCUUAUGGUCUCAUCAAAGUUUUUGGAGUGAUUGGAACUGUGUUUCUAUCACUGGCCUCGCUGGAAAACGUGGGACACAUCAUUUCACUUCUCUGAACCUCAGUUUCCCCAUUCUGCCACCUACAGGCAGAAGAGUAAAUCAAAGGGACAUCAAGUCCCGCACGUGGUGCCUGGCUCAUCAUCCAACCAGCAUCUGCCACUUCUCUGGAAAGAAGGCAGUGACGAGUGACAUCCUACCGAAACCAGGGGGCCCUCUCCCCAUCCGAUCCCUACCAACCCUCCCGGUUAUGCCCAGACAACCGGGAGCCCAGACACCAGGCUCAGCCCCCUGGAGGCGGUGUGCUGGCACCCACGCAGCUCCGGCUGGAGAGAGCAGUUCUGCCCUGGGGCUCCUGUCCCCUGGAGCCUCAGUUUCAGGCCAUCCUUCCUGGCAAUCUACAGCAGCACUUCUUUCUCCCUCAGUCUUUUGGCCAGUAGGUCCUGAGCACACUCUCAGCCUCCAGCCGUCGCCUCUCUACAAAAUGACCAAGAUGGCAACGAGAAGCUUCCUCGCUGCAGCCAGGGCGUCCGGCCACCCUGGCCCACCUUCCGCAGGUCGAGGGCCAAAGACCCGAGAUUUCCCUUUAAUGCCCCCGCUGGGUUGCCUACUCCCCAGCAAACUUCGCUCCUGGACUCUUGGACUUUCAGUCCCAGGCUCCCCGGACCAUCACCUCUGGGGCACAGAGCUCUUAGUCUUGGCCUGGGAGCAGGUGGAUUCACUCCUCCCCAUGGGACCUGAAGAGAGUGAGCCUAUCAAAGCCAGAGCCCUCCCCGCCCCCGCUGGAGGGUCACCACUGUUGAGGACACAAGAAACUGGCUCAACAAGUUUCAGGAAGCAGUGAGUCCUUACAUGCCUGAGACCAGGGUCUCCGAGAGAAUCUAACAGCUGUGUGGACCCUCUGCCCAGAAAAGCUCACAUGACACUUUUCAUCCAACCUCACGGGGAGCUCAGAUGAAGACAUUCUAUCAUCAAAGUUCCCCAACGCAAGACAACCAAGGCAGCCAAGCGAUCCCCAGGCAGCUAUUACUCUCCCAGCCACCUAGUCCCUGGAUGGCACAAAGAUGGAGCCAGGCCUGUGGCCAGAACAGUCCAGCCACUCCCUCUGGACCCCCUCUGAGGUCUCUGAUCUCAAGACCCUGGCUUGUCAGUGUCCUGGUGGGAUGCCCUCUCCAACCUUCUGUUUUCCUGCCUGUACACGAAGGCUGUCGGAACAGGAGGGGAACACAACCUUCAUAAGAAUGACACCGCCACUGAGGACAGGACUGGCAUACACGGGUUAGAACCAACUAGUUCCAAGCUGGCAGAAGAUUCCACUUCCAGUAGACCUUGAAAAUCAUUACACGUUCAUUAUAACCCAUUAGCUAAAUGGCACGCCCACCGGCACCAAGACACUUCUGAGGCCAACCCUAAAAGUCCAAAAAGUAGGCAGUGGCUCUGUUCCUGGAAAUCCUUGGAAUUUAAUAGUUGGAAUAAUUCUCCCACUCAUUAGCCUAUGAAAUUACCCAGUCCAUAAAAACUAACCUCCCCCGGAGUUCCCGCUGUAACUCAGUGGAAACAAAUCUGACUAGCAUCCAUGAGGACACAGGUUCCAUCCCUGGCCUUGCUCAGCGGGUUAAGGAUCUGGCGUGGUUGUGAGCUGUGGUGUAUGUCACAGACAAGGCUUGGAUCCUAAGCUGCUGUGGCUGUAGUAUGUGCUGGCAGCUACAGCUCUGAUUCAAGCCCUAGCCUGGGAACUUCCAUGUGCCACUCAUGCAGCCCUAAAAG
ensembl:lncRNA